GUUGUUCUUGUGUGUUUCUCUCUCUCCACGGAAGCAAAUCACCGCAUCUCUCUAUCUCUGCAAACCUAUGCCUCUAUCGAUUAUCGAUAGAUCGUAAUCGAAUUCGGGAGGUGUAGAGGAACCGAUCAACAUGGGAAACAUCUUUGUCUCGCUUCUCGCCUUGACGCUGUUGUUGCUCGCUUAGACACCCAGGCUAAGAUGGACACCAUCACCAAAUCCAUGACUAACAUCGUCAAAUCCCUUGAAUCUUCCCUCGCCACAGCAGGUAGCAGAUGACUAUGGUCUUGAAGUAUCUGUUUGAUUACCUCAGCCUGCUGAUCAUAAUGUUUCCUCAACGUGAGCUUCACCACCAAGCAGGCCCAUGGUUUUGCUUUUUCGAAAUCUGGUCAACAACCCAUGGUUAUACAACUGACCAGUCCCGACUUGUGAUGACUAAGCGUUGUAGUAGAACUCACGAGCUUCCUCUGCUGGUGUCAAAUUCUAGACCAACGUAAGGUUCGGCUCCUGAGCUUUGACACUGGUAAGCUCACUGCAAAUGAUCCAAAGAAGGGGAAGAAAAUACACACACGAGUUCAUCGAAAAUCUCACAUCAGACAAUGAGUUCCUAACUAUUGUAAAAAGCUAAGAAAGCUAGAGAAUUCAGAAGAAAGGAGGAGACUUUAUCAACCAACCCCAGAGAAGAUGCACUCUCAUCUGAACUGAAUUGAAUUGAAGCCAACAACACAAGAACGUAAAAGCCAGACCAGAAAUGUUAUCUGUUUGAUUGAAGUAUCUGUUUGCUUGGACUAUCUGCCACUUAGGACGAGUUCCUUAUCAUAAUGUUACAGCUAUUAUCUGCAAACACUUAUUGAAGCCACACAUCAAGCCCACAACAAGCCCAAGACUGUCAUUGGAGAGGUCCAUAGAAACCCAUGUAACUAGGGUUCUACCAUCUUUAUAUAUAAAGUUAAGUUUGCUCUCUCCUUAGGGCCUCCACGUUGGAUUACACUUCACUAAUUUGGAUACUGUCAAGCUGACAUGUGUCCACUUUAACAAAACACAACGUUUUAAUAAGACGCUUUUAAACUCUGCUUUCCAUAGCACCAGUUUGCUCUCUCCUUAGGGUCUCCACGUUCGAUUACAUCUCACUAAUUUGGAUGCUGUCAAGCUGACACGUGUCCACUUUAACAAAACACAACGUUUUAAGAAGGCGCUUUUAAACUCUACUUUCCAUAGCACCAGCCGCAAAUUUUUUUAAGGGUUUAGUGUUUUUCCACGACGAAUCGAAUAGUCAUUUUCUUCUUUAAUCUCUUGAGUAUCUAUAUUCCUUUAAAAUGGCUAAUUCAUCAAAUCCUUUUCCUUUGAUUAAUUUUGUCGAAAUUAGACAUUCUGUAAACAACGUCUCCUUUUGGAGACUCCGCCAUACAAACUCACAGAUAGAAAAUUCUGGAAACGUAACGUUUCCAAUCGUGACCUUCGAUGGGCUCAUUAACAAGAUCUUUACUUCCCUUCUCAGAAUUUUUGACUAUAAAAGUUUCGUCACCGGCUUGAUCGGAAAUCAAGUAAGCAAAUCACGAACAGGGAGAGAUGGGUUUGGGUUUGAUCUUGGACUCGACGAAGGAUGAUGAACCAGAUCCAUAUACUCGCGGAUAUGGUAGUUACUUAGCCUCGGACCCGAUAUGCUUCUUUUUUGAAAAAAGGCUCUUACUUGGCUUAGACCAUUGUGGAAUAAAGAUCACUUUCGCCUGAUUGUUUUUUUUAAUGUCCUCAACUUCUCCAUCUUUAAUGCUGUAGCCUGUAGCCUGUAUUUCCUGUACUCUCCAGUCUCUUUGUUAUGUAGCUAAGUGCUGGUCUUCUCAUCAUCAGAUGUUGUGGUCACUUCUUGGAAGUAAAGGGAGUGCUGUACAGUUAUGGACAUGGCUUCUCAAGGUUUUGCAGCGAAACUUACCAAGUCCCAAGCCAAACAAAUAACAGAUUUACCAGAAGUUGUUCAUGUCACACUUGAUAGUUUAUAUGAACCUUUCUGCUGCCAAUCCGAAAAAUCUUAAUAUGGUGAAGAAGUUAUCAUUGGCAAUGUUAACACAGGAGUGUGGCAAAAAUCUGAAGUCUUUAACGACAAUGGGAUCGGAGGGCUGCCAAAACGCUGGGAAGGAGGUUGUGAAUCACGAGAGGAUUUCAACUCCUGCAACGAAAAGCUCAUAAGAGCCAAAUAUUUAACCAAUGGGUUCCACCCAUUCCUGGAACACAGUGUUUGCACUUUGCAUAUUUUCUUAAGUUUUUUCGAGAGGUAUCUUUUCCAAGUACCAUCUCCAUCUAAACGUUUUCUUUGAUUUUCAAAGGGCACUGACCAUGUUAUAGUUAUUUUGGUCCUCAUGAUUUGUGAAAUUACCAAUUAGGUUUACCCAUUAUGAGAUGCCUUUACAUUUUUGUAAAAGAUUUUGCUGGAAAUGAAUCUUAAAGGAAAGACACGAGACCAUGUUAACAUUUAAAGGAUUCUUUUGUUUUUUAAGGUCAGCCCAUGUUAUAUUUACUUCAGUUUUGUGC